UACGUAGGGUGCAAGCGUUAAUCGGAAUUACUGGGCGUAAAGCGUGCGCAGGCGGUUUUGCAAGACAGAUGUGAAAUCCCCGGGCUCAACCUGGGAACUGCAUUUGUGACUGCAUGGCUAGAGUACGGUAGAGGGGGAUGGAAUUCCGCGUGUAGCAGUGAAAUGCGUAGAUAUGCGGAGGAACACCGAUGGCGAAGGCAAUCCCCUGGACCUGUACUGACGCUCAUGCACGAAAGCGUGGGGAGCGAACAGG
rnacentral:rRNA from 1 species